GGCAGUGGAGUGGUUCAGUCCCGUGUUUGUUUUCGGAUUCCCAGGACACCCCAAAUCCAGAGUGAGAGUCCAGACCAGAAAAGACUCCAGUCCUUUAUAUAUAUAUAUAUAUAUAUAUAUACAAGUUUAAAAACAAAAACUUUUCUCUAAUGCUUUACCUGUGAUAACUUGUGGAUCCAGGAUCAAGACACGUGGUGGCGGUCUGAGAAUAUGGUUUCACAAGGCAUGUUGGGACGAGCUAAGUUAAUGGAGCAAUGGCUUUGGAUCUCAAUUGUUUGACAGGUUUAAGUGAAUUGUAGAGUGAGUUAUGAAAUCCAAGAAAAUAAAGUGCAGUUUGUGUUUUUUAGUGAGCAAAAAUUCUCAUAUUAUUAUCUAUAUAAGCUACAAUUGGUAAAUAUUUCUUUAGG
rnacentral:lncRNA from 1 species